UCCUGUAAAUAUUGUAAAAUGCUUCAACUUUCAUAAACAUGGUAAGAUAAAUGAGAAAUUUUUAACUGAGAGUGAAACUCAAUUGCUGUAUAACUGUUCUACUCAAUUAUAACCGUGCCUGAACAUUUUCAAGUUCUCUUCUCCUUUGCUGCAAUCAGGUCUAUUUUUCUCACAGAGACUGUAACCCAGCAACUCAGCAUUAGUAGAGUAACAAGUGAUUAGAAGCAGAUAUUAACUUCUGACUACCAAAUGGACAAUCUCCCAUUAAAGCAGCUGAAGAAAAUGUCUUUUUAGCAUGGAAACUUCUGAACAUUUCUUCACUGGAAUUCUUUACAAGUUUGAAAUAAGAUUAUCUCAGAUGCUGCUUCUCUGCAAAAUGUAAGGAGAGGUAGAAAGAACAGACAGCUUUUUAUGGGUCAGACCCUCGUCUCUUAGCAGUGGCUGCAAACGGGUGAAGUGACACUCUGAACCCCUGGUGGCAUCCUGCAUGUGACCAGCGCCUGAGGCAGUCUGCUCCGUGGGCUGGCUGCGGUGGGUGAUUCCAGCCCUUCCAUCGUGGGCUGGCUGCAAUGGUGUUUCCAUCCGUUCCGUCGUGGGCUGGCUGCAGUGGUGAUUCCAGCCAUUCCCUCGUGGGCUGGCUGCAGUGGUGAUUCCAGCCAUUCCCUCGUGGGCUGGCUGCAGUGGUGAUUCCAGCCGUUCCCUCAUGGGCUGACUGUGGUGGGUGAUUCCAGCCGUUCCCUCGUGGGCUGGCUGCAGUGGUGAUUCCAGCUGUUCCAUCCUGGGCUGGCUGUGGUGGGUGAUUCCAGCCUUUCCAUCAGCCCCACGCAGGAGGCAGCUGAGAGGUCCCAGCACUCAGGCUGGGAUUGCUGGUGGCUGCUGGAGCACAGCCAUGGGGAGCAGCCCUCACAGAGCUCCCUUGCCGUGUUGUAGGCAAGGAGGUUAUAACCGCAUCUCCCACACCACAGAAUCCCUGCCAUGAGCUGUCAGCUUCCAACUCUGUCUUCCCCACCCCCAUCUGAUUUAACAUACAGUGCAAAAAGAAGUUGGACUGGUCCCACAUUAGGGGACCAUGUUGCAACCUCCUCUCUGAGCAUGAAACAGGAUCCCUUAGGAAUAAUGGGAUUAACUGAGGAGAAGUAGGGGCACUUAGCUUCUGGCAUUAUUAAAUCUUGCAAUCCUUAUUUGAAAUUUUGCACCACACAUCUCAAGCUACUUUUUGCAGAGGCAGACAAUAACUGUCAUCUGUCUGGGAUUUGUGCAGAACAAUAAUACUUGGUUUUUAACAGCGGAUUAUGGAUAUUCUAUCCAGCUCAUGCCUGCUGUAACUCUACUAACAUCAAAGGGUUUGCACUAGGGAUAAAGUUUGCACAUUCAACUUUGUUGGCCAAAUUCAAGUUAGGAAAUUCAAUGUUGUUGAACAAGAUCAGUCAUUAAAACACAUAAUAACUUAUUGUCCUUUUGCUAAUCAUCAUUAAAUGAGCUAAAUGUCCUAAACUAGCCCUUGCUUUCUUGCAGGAUGGAUUCAAUUUGGCUUAAGAUGAGGCUCCAGAUCUGUCACCCACAGUCAAUGUCCCAGCUGCCUUCACUUCAUUGGAUCCAGCUGAAGUAUUCUGCUCAGCAGGAGAGCUCAGCUGGGCUAAUGGGCCCUAGAGGCUUGUUCUACUAUUUUCUCAUCUCCUGUUAGGUUUUAGCCAGGUGCAGAAUCCACUGCCUAUUUCCUGAUUAAUCCAGUAUCUGUUUUGUCACAGCUGAAAAUAGCAAGAAGCCUACAGAGAGCUUUAAAUAGUGGCAAGUCAGAGCAGGUAAGAGCUGUCAUCUGCUGCAGAGUGGGAGGUCAGUCUGAUGUAUGUAAUGCACCUAGAGUGGAGGCAAGCAAGAAGACCCUUUUCUCCAAAGUUAAGCAGCUUUCGUAACUCCCACAACAAGAAGGCGACAGGAGAGGGAGCCUAGCUUUUCGUUUCCUCUACUGAAGUGGAGUAAGGGAAAUGACUUUGAGAGUCUUCCAUUUCAAGAUUUUAAUGGGUGGUUUUAACCUGAUUGUUUUAAACAUGUUCAGAGGUCAAUAAAAGAAAAAGCUCUCUACUUGGGAAUCUUCCUCUCAGCACAGUCUUAGUUUAAUAGUUUUCAUGACAUGCUUUCAUCAAGUUCUCUUUCCCUCCUCCUUCUGUCAGACUUCACAAAGCCCUGCUGAUUUACUUCAGGUUUAGCUGCACUCCAGAGAAAUGCAAAUUGCACAGGUGGCCAUUCAAAGGGUCAAGAUUGAUAUUCAAGGUGUUGUCCUUUGAGGCUGACCACAAGGGAGAAGGCUAGUACUUUCCCAACUCCAUGUUUUUCCUUGUAGGAAAGGGGACAGAUUGUGCAUUUGUUCGCUCUCGUCUGAGCCUUCCCAAACAGCUCUGUUACAUGGCAAAGAAACUGCCAGGCUGUGCUGAAGGAAAGGCAGUCAAGGAAGUAGGGAUCAUAAAAUAAUGCUGAUGUGGCAUGGCUGCAAUAGUAGUGCACAUGUUGUCUAAUUUCUGUAACAAAGACUAUGAAGGAAGUCAGGGUGCAAUGCAGCCACUGACCACUAUGACAGGAACAGCUCCCAAGUAGGAGCAAGUCUCUGCUUCCUUUUGCUCACAUUCUGACAUCUCUGUUUUAAGAAACUGCCUUAAAAAUGAACUCCUUACAUCAUCAAAGAUAAUAUUCUGUCCAGCUAAGGUAGGAAUCUGGAAUAAAUCUGUCUAUGCUGUUUUCUGGACUUGUGGUGUAAAGCAUCAGAUUUCUUUUUCAAGCAUGAUGGAAAUAACAGUUCUUAUCUAAUUCUAAUGACUACUUGAUUCUUAGGUUUAAAUACAUUUGUGCCUCAAACAGUCUUAACUUUGACUUGUCCUCUUAGGUAAAAAGGAUAAUAUAUUUAUGUUAAAGAAAAAAAUUGAUGUUGAAUUUGCUUGUAACAGUUAAGCAGCAGUCUUAAAUGACUUCUCAACCAAGCAGUAGUACCUUGUUACAUCCUGUAUUUAAUAUGGACAGGCCUCUUGUCACCUGGUAUAUUUUGUUUUGUUGCUCAAUUUCACUGCUUAUAAUAAACACCACUUUUUUUCUUCUUCUAAAUGAUGUGAAUAACAAUCCCCUCCCUGUCUCAUCCCUGCACAGGUCAUGGGUAUUUAGCUGCUAAAUUUCUGUACCUCAGAAAAUUAUGCGUCCAGAACAUCUUGUUUAUAUAUUUUCUAAACUGUUGCUCUUUCCUCAAAAUGAUGAAUGUCAGCAACAGCUGGACAGUGUAUGAUUAAAUUUCACCUUGUCUCCAUUCCCAGAACUCUACUUCCAUAUGGAGUUCCGUAAAGCAAUACUAAAAGCAUGGGAGCAGGGAUAAAUAUGCCUUGAGCUGUAACUUGUUCUGCAUUCACAACUUAGUAUUUCGGCAUGCAUUUUGCAAAGCACUAGUUUUGUUUGCUAUUGUGGCUUCUACAAUUCAUCUACUGUUUUCAGUCUUUAGUCAAUUGACUUGGAACUUUGCUUUUACACACAUGAAUAGAUUUUGGAUCUUACCUUUCUCUGGAGCACUGCCAAUAAUGACUUCAAUUGCAAAUAGCAUAUGCUGUAAUAAAAAUGGGUGAAAAUCCAAAUUCCCCCAAUGCAGCCCUAAGUUGCACAAGGGCAAAUAUUUUUUAACAGAACAAGCCCUCCAAAGAGCAGGAAAUGCACAGGUACCUAGCAUGAAGGUACACUGUUUGCAGUUACUGUGCCUCCCCUUCGUGGCUAGUAGGGUGUGGAUCAGAUCUACCAAUGCAUACAAUUAAGCUGGGUAAUUAGUACUUUAGGAACCUGAUUGAAAUUAAAGCUCACCAUGAUGCAAGCAAACAGUUUUACUGAGUGUGCAACUGUUAUUAAAUCACUUACUUUUGAGUAGUAUCUGUACAGUUUUAUGGCACAGCGAUGACUUGCUUUUGUGAAGGCUUGCCCUUAAUAAUAAUGAUCUCCCAUUGGCCCCAAGCCUCUGGUGUUGCACCUGGCACGUAUUUAGUGAAUCUAAGGAUUUAGUGGGUUGUGUUCCUAUUUUCUAGCAAAAGCAUGACAUUAUUCUAGGCUGGUGAUGUUGCUUGCUCCCUUCUAUAGAAUUGCUUUCUAGUAAGUUCUUCCCUAUUGUUUGUAGGAUUUGCACAGAUUGUAGCAUUGUAGUUGAAUUUUCAUACUCAAAUAUUACACUUGCCCUUGUCUUUUUUUAAAUCCCAUCACUAAUUUGAAAAUAUCAAAUAAUGUGCUUCUUCCCAGGGCAGGGUGUCACUGUAGGUAAUGAAGGACACUUGCUGUUUUGUCUUUUGCUGACGAAUAACACUAGGCAUAGGGAGAACCCCUUUAAAAGCCUGUUUAGUGCUUUCAGUGAAACAGAACUACCAGUGGGAGUUGAGGAGGCAGGUAGGAUGCUACUUUGUUUGGAUAUCUCCAUUCUUACCCACAUGCAGGUGAGUUGGUCUAUGUUAAAUAAUAUCUAAUACCUUUCCCUGCUUAUCUACUAUGCAGAAAAUAUGCAACAUGCACAGAUGGUCUAGUUACCUCUUGGGGAAUUCAGUGCUUCUCUGAUGUAGUGAGCAACUGGAUAGAAGUGAAUGCUGAGAUCAAAGUUGGGGUUGUCCUCUGCUUCUACUCCGUAGUAAUGCACAGGCAAGUCGCUGUAGAAGUUGGGCCCGGUGUUGAUGCGGAACCUCCCGGCAGCGGCGUUCACCACGUGGGAGAUGCCCAGACGGCUCAGCUGCGCCUUGUCGCGAGCGACGUACCUGGAGGAAAGAAGGGGAAUUAGAUCUGCCUGCUGCAUUGCAAAGCAGGGAAGAACGUGCUGCUGAUGGGGGGUUUGUUACAACUGCAGGAAGUGGUAAUGGCUAUUUUAUUGACAGGUUGAUCAGGUUCAAAGUGUUCAUCAGAAUGCUUUAAGACAGAAAUGACUUGUUAAGAAACUAACUCUUAGAUUUCCCUCAGUUUUUUCCCAAACAUAUGUUUAGAUGGUUCUCAGCUGAUGAAAGGUGGUGGUGGAGAUAUUUCUGCACAAGCUAAGGGUUUUCUGAUUUCAAAGACUUUCUCACCAAGUCACCUCUGCUGAGUAUUCAUCAGUUCAGAGGACUGGUGCCAUCUGGCAAAGUGAGGAGGAGAAAAAUGAGCUCGAUCCUGUUUCACCCAGCUUUGGCAUGACUGCCUGAAGUAGCAAUGCCACAGCUCCAGUGGGCUGCUGCAGUGUGUCACUCCUGCACUAAUGCAGGAGGAGAAACCAGGAGGCAGGAGAUAUUUAGUCAGCUGGGAUGCAUUUUCUCUAUGCUACAGCAUCCUCUGCAUAGUUCAAUCUUGUUCAACACUUAGAUCUGUUGUGAGAGGUCCCAGAUUACUGCCUAGCUCUCUGUUUUUAAAUAAAGAGUGGAAGAUUUGGGGGAAGAGUUGCAAUAACCUUCAGCCCUUCCUGUCUCUUACAGGUCUCCCACAUAAAGGUUUGGCCAGACUUCAUCCACGUGCCCUGUGGGGUGUGUGCGUGUGCAGAGCAGGCGCCGCAGCUCCUCCAGGGACGGUGUCCCAGUGCUGCUCCCACUGCCGGGCAUCCCGCUUGAGGCACUUCUUAUCCUGGGCCGCCGUAAGUCCUGGCUGCACAAGGAGUCCCAGGCCAUCCUGAAAGGAAACAGGGAAGUUCCUACUACUGUCUGGAAUUCUAAAUGCUAUUAUUAUCACAGAGAAAAAGCCCAGCCCUUGAUGUGCCAGCACAAGGCUUCUGCUUUCACAUGGAAAGAGGUCUGAGCUGGAGGCAGCUGAAGGGCAGAGUGCUGCCAAGCACUGGCAGCGAUAGCUGGACCUGAGUGAAGAGUUGCCCUUGGGUUUAAUGUGAGUCAAAAGCCUUUACUCACCACAAGAGAGCAAAAGGCAGCUUACAACAGGAGGUUAAGUAAUUCCCCACUAUCCAUCUCUGAAGUGCAAACAGUACAGCCUUGAUGUGCCCCAGGGAAAGGAAGCAAACCAGCCUUUGAAUCUUUACCCAACCUUACUGCUCAUAUUUUGCUUUCACUGACAUCUUUUUCAGAGAGAGAUCCUCAGCCUGUAAGUGCAGCUGGAAAGCAAACUGGAAUUUCACAAACAUUGGAGUUGCUGCGUACGAGGGCCCAGCUCCGGGCUGGCCCUGCCGGGGUCGCUGCUGGCGGAGCUGCUCUGGGGCUCGCACUGCUCGGUGCCGGCGCUGCCCGCACCGGGGCUGGUUUGCAAACAAGAUUAAAGUAUUUUUACCAUCAGAGUAAACUCCAGAUUUCCAGUUGUUCCAGUCAGUGUUUUAAAAGCAUGUUUAAUGUCCAAGUCCCGGAGCUGGCUGAGGAACCCCAUAUUUGGGCAGAUGUUUCUGUGAGUGCUCACUGUCUUCAGAGCAUCCACGA